AUGGCGCCACAGCCGGAGUCGACGCAGGAGGAGGCCGCGGAGGCCUGCCGGCGCGCGGAGGCGCUCUUCCGCGCCGGCGACGUGCGUGCGGCGCACCGCAUGGCGCAGAGGGCCCAGACGCUCUCCCCCGCGCUGCCCGGCGUCGCGAGCGCCCUCGCCGCCUACGCCGUCCACGCCGCGGCCGCCAACCGAGGCGGCCGCCCCGACUGGCGCGCCGUCCUCGGCCUCGGGCGUGCUCGGGAGCCGCUCGACGCCGGCCUGAGCGAGCAUGAUGUUAUCAGGAGGCAGUUCCGGCGGAUGUCCCUCCUCGUCCACCCCGACAAGAACCCCUCCGCCGCCGCGGAAGGCGCGUUCAAGCUGCUCCGCCAGGCCUGCGACACCCUCUCCGCCACCGCCAGCCGCCACCGGCCGGGCAGUGCCACUGCAGCCUCUACACCGGCCGGGCAGUACCACCGGCGCAGCUAUGCCACACCAGCAGGCGUGCGCGACACGUACGCCGAGGCCGCCACCAAGUACGCACCGUCCCCGGCCACCACCAAGAAGCCUACCACGGCCACCGCCGGCAACCACCGGCCCAGCAACGACGCCGCCGCCAAGCACACCGCGGAUCACUGGCGCAACACCCCCGCCUACGCCUCAGCCGCCGGACUCGACGACGACUACGACUACGACUACCACGACGACUACUACGACUACUCGAGCCACUACUACAACUACCACGGGCAGGACGACACCGCUGAAACGUACACCCCGGCCGCUGGCCACAAGGACGACGAUGGCGCCGCUGAAACGCGCAACCCCGCCACCGGCAACAAAGGCGGCGGGUCUUGUGGACCCCGCGAGGACGCACGGAUCAUCUGUCUGUCCUGCGAUUGGGAAGGCGGGGUCACUAAGCCGACCGGCGUCCCGGUGCCAGGCAGCGAGUGCUCCUGGUGCGGCCAGACGAUGACUCGGGUCUCUGGUGCCGCCAUGGACUAG
rnacentral:rRNA from 1 species